rnacentral:sRNA from 1 species
CAGGAGCUGACGCGUCCACGAUUAUCUACUUCGUCGGGACCACAUCUAGUGAGGCAAUUGGUGCAAACAUAUUGACAUAGGUUUAUUCUUUCCGGGAACUCAGAAAUUCAGAAUUUUGAAGUUUAAUUAAGUAAGCAACACGUUAGAUAAUGGGAUUUCAAAAAUAAAGAUGAAAUUAUGAAGUUU